CUGUACCCCUGACCCAACAAGGAAGGACAAGAGGUGUGAGCCACAUUCCCGGCCUCCUGUCUUUCCUUGUUGAAGCAAGGAUGUAG
ensembl:miRNA